rnacentral:rRNA from 1 species
UACGAAGGGAGCUAGCGUUGUUCGGAAUCACUGGGCGUAAAGCGCACGUAGGCGGAUUUGCCAGUCAGGGGUGAAAUCCCGGGGCUCAACCUCGGAACUGCCUUUGAUACUGGCAAUCUUGAGUCCGGGAGAGGUGAGUGGAACUCCUAGUGUAGAGGUGAAAUUCGUAGAUAUUAGGAAGAACCCCAGUGGCGAAGGCGGCUCACUGGCCCGAUACUUACGCUGAUGCACGAAAGCGUGGGGAGCAAACCGG